GCAUGUUUGAAUGAGCAUGUAGGGUUCGGAGGCACCGGGAACCAAACUGAUGCCUGAUAGCAACAAGACCUAUGGCCUCUGUCUCUCUGCAGAUAACAGCUCUGGGAGAUGGAGUCCAUGAUCUGGUUGUAAAGCAGGGUGCCUAGCAACUCUCUUAAGAACACUGCAAUGGAAAUUAAUUAGAGAGACCACCAACCCUCAAACUUGUAAUUAAAUGGAAAUUAAUUACAGAGCACGGACUGCCUCUCAAGCAGGUUGCUACCCUAUUGGCUUUGCCCAUCUACUGGACAGUGCGUCGUAUGAAGGAAGGGCUAAGCUAGCUACACAAGCAAUCGAGAGUACGAGACAACAAGAAUGUUUGUUUGUUUACAUGCUAGUACUAAUCAUAUCAUAUCAUAUUAAAUCUUUAGUUUUUUGACCCACUACCAACAGUGAAUCGACGAUUCUCAGCCCAGAAAGCCUGCUACAGUACUACAGGACCUCACCCUUCAUGCACCGUCCGAUGUCCACGGGUUCAUCGAUCCAUCCGUCUACGCCUCAUAGCCGCAUCACCCCGAUCCCCUCCGUCAUCGCUCCUAACCAAUCAGCGCACCCAUCGUCCCAAAAUCCCCAAAUCUUCAUCGCCUCCUCGUGAGGUUCGUCGGCGCCGACACCGCCAUCUUGCGGAGCCUGUGGCCAGCGUCGCCGCUUUCUUGUCGAGCCAGUGAGGGAAAUCGCGGCGCCAUCUUCGCCGCCCUCGCCGGACCAGCGUCGCCACGGAGCUAGCCGGCGGCAUCUGCCAUCGGGCAAGCGCCGCAGCCGACCGCCGCCCUCGUCUCUUCGGCGAUCCAGCAGCUGCCGCCGCCUUUCGUCUGCUAGCUGCUAACGGUUGUCCAACUAGCUCGAUCCCUGUCCGUGCUGCUCCGUGUCCUCUUUCAUUCGUCAGUUUCAGGUAUAUAUCCAUAUCACUCCUUGCAUUGUUACUUUCAUUAAUCAUUUACUAGGCAGUGCCGAUUGUUUGGAUGAUAUGAUGCUUUGGGUUUAUUAUUGCUCUUAUUAUAUUUACCACUAUCUACAGUAAAAAAAAAGUGCUCUAUUUUAGUUUGGAGUAAAUUCCUUGUGUGCCCCUGAAAAGUUAUUCAAUCUCUUACAUGCCCCUGAAACUUACUCGAUUCCUUCUAUACCCUUGAAUUUUUGAUUGGAUCCCCUACAUACCCCUACCGUUAGAUUUAGCAGCAUUCCCUGGUUAGUUUGGUUGAAAAUGUCUAUAAUACCCUUGAGGUUGGAGGAGCUGAAAACUAAGAACAUGUUUGGCAGCUGGGUUUGAAACAUUCAUGACUGCACAGUAUGUAUUCCGUGAGACUAAAAAAAUAGUGCAUAAAAUUAAUUUCAUUUUCUUUUGUUAUAGCAUUCAGUAUUUUAUAAAAAAAUAUAACAUGACAUUGGAUCUUUCAUGACCACUAACCGACACAGCCUGGGGGUAAAAGACAGUACCCCUACCCGUUUACUCAAACACCAUUGCAAUUCAUCAGCAUAUCAAGAGCAUCGGUAGCACCAUUUAAUAGGAAGAAAAUGAAAAUACAUCUAAAAGCAUUCAUACACCAUCAGCAGUACACAAAUAUAUUACUUUUUACAUCAUGAGCAUAAUAGCACAAGCCCAUAACAGUUCAAGGCAUCUGCCUGCAUAAAGUCAAACAAAUUAAUGAAGAAACACUAGCAGCAGCAGCUAUUCGCAUUUUGCUAAUCAACGCAAGGGUGUAUCUUACCGACGGCGAGGAGCAGCGGAGCAAGGAGGUAAUAGGCCGGCGUCGGAGCCCCCGAGAAGAGGGUGAGGUGACAAGAGGGAGGGCGCGGAGGAGGCAGGGAGGAGACGGCGUCGCCAUGACCGCAAGCAGAGUCGAGGCCGCGGCGGGAUGCGGACUCGUCGCCGCGGCAGGAUGCAAAGCCGCCGCCGCCCACCAGAUGCGGACCCCGCCACGCCACCGAUGGGAUGCGGACCCAGCCGCCACCGCCGACCGCAAGCAGAGCCGAGACCGCGGCGGGAUGCAGAGCCGCUGCCGCCGCCGGGAUGUGGGAGAAGGGCGGCGAUGCGCGUGCAACGAUGGCUGAAAGCUGGCGAUGUGCGGCACCGUGCGUGUGGGAACUAUUUUGGAGGAUUUGGGGAUCGGAUGUGGCCCUGUGUUACCUAGGGUUGACAGGGGCAUUUUCGCAUUUUAUGAAAAUACUGACAAGCUAACACACACAUGAACACAAACAUCUGACGGAACCCAAACGGUAGGGGUACGUAGGGGAUCCAAUCGAAAAUUCAGGGGUAUAGAAGGAAUCGAGUAAGUUUCAGGGGCAUGUAAGGGAUUGGGUAACUUUUCAGGGGCACACAAGGAAUUUACUC